UGGGGAACAUUGGACAAUGGGGGAAACCCUGACCCAGCAACGCCGCGUGUGGGAUGAAGGCCCUCGGGUCGUAAACCACUGUCAGGAGGAAAGAAAAGUCGGCCGGAUAAUACUCGGUCGACCUGACGGUACCUCCAAAGGAAGCACCGGCUAACUCCGUGCCAGCAGCCGCGGUAAUACGGAGGGUGCAAGCGUUGUUCGGAAUUACUGGGCGUAAAGCGCGUGUAGGUGGUCGAGUAAGUCGAAUGUGAAAGCCCCGGGCUCAACCCGGGAAGUGCAUCCGAGACUGCAUUGCUGGAGUACGGAAGAGGAGGGCGGAAUUCCCGGUGUAGCGGUGAAAUGCGUAGAUAUCGGGAGGAACAUCAGUGGCGAAGGCGGCCCUCUGGUCCAGUACUGACACUCAAGUGCGAAAGCGUGGGGAGCAAACAGGAUUAGAUACCCCCGUAGUCCCUGAGCGGGCUGGCAAGGCGCAU
rnacentral:rRNA from 1 species